UGGCGGCGUUUGGAGAAGAUUACUGGACAGAUGAUUAUUACACAGAGUUUAUACAACAGCGGUGUCAGGACAGAGGGGGCAGCAGUAGCUGCGGGACGGUGUGAGGGCGAGGGGCCAUGGCCCUUGCUCUCCACCUCUCCCUCCUCCUCCUCCUGGCAGUGGCCCUGCACGCCAGGGCUGCCCAGGCUGCUCCGGUGCCAGCGCGGGGAGCAGAUGAGGGUGCUGGGAAUGCUUCUCCAGUAGAUUGGCUGCGUAAAGUUUUGGAGCCCUUGCAGCCUCCUGCAAGGGUGUCCGGAGGGAGGACUUUUCCAGAUCCUAAUCGGAUUGCUCAACACAAAGGUGGCUCCCAUCA